UCAGUGGCGAACGGGUGAGUAACACGUGAGUAACCUGCCCCAGACUCUGGGAUAACUUCGGGAAACCGGAGCUAAUACCGGAUAUGACACGGAGAUGCAUGUCUAUCGUGUGGAAAGUUUUUCGGUCUGGGAUGGGCUCGCGGCCUAUCAGCUUGUUGGUGAGGUAAUGGCUCACCAAGGCGACGACGGGUAGCCGGCCUGAGAGGGCGACCGGCCACACUGGGACUGAGACACGGCCCAGACUCCUACGGGAGGCAGCAGUGGGGAAUAUUGCACAAUGGGCGCAAGCCUGAUGCAGCGACGCCGCGUGAGGGAUGACGGCCUUUGGGUUGUAAACCUCUUUCAGCAGGGAAGAAGCGCAAGUGACGGUACCUGCAGAAGAAGCACCGGCUAACUACGUGCCAGCAGCCGCGGUAAUACGUAGGGUGCGAGCGUUGUCCGGAAUUAUUGGGCGUAAAGAGCUUGUAGGCGGUCUGUCGCGUCUGCUGUGAAAAUCCGGGGCUCAACCCCGGACUUGCAGUGGGUACGGGCAGACUAGAGUGUGGUAGGGGAGACUGGAAUUCCUGGUGUAGCGGUGAAAUGCGCAGAUAUCAGGAGGAACACCGAUGGCGAAGGCAGGUCUCUGGGCCAUAACUGACGCUGAGAAGCGAAAGCAUGGGGAGCGAACAGGAUUAGAUACCCUGGUAGUCCAUGCCGUAAACGUUGGGAACUAGGUGUGGGUCUCAUUCCACGAGAUCCGUGCCGCAGCUAACGCA
rnacentral:rRNA from 1 species